GUAGGGGCCAAGCGUUAUCCGGAUUUACUGGGCGUAAAGAGCUCGUAGGCGGCUUGGCAAGUCGGUCGUGAAAGUCCGAGGCUCAACCUCGGAAUGCCGGUCGAAACUGCCAUGGCUAGGGUUCGGUAGAGGAGAGUGGAAUUCUCGGUGUAGCGGUGAAAUGCGCAGAUAUCGAGAGGAACACCAGUAGCGAAGGCGGCUCUCUGGGCCGAUACCGACGCUGAGGAGCGAAAGCGUGGGGAGCAAACAGGAUUAGAUACCCUGGUAGUCCACGCCGUAAACGGUGAUCACUAGGUGUGGCGGACUCAUUGACGUCUGCUGUGCCGGCGCUAACGCAUUAAGUGAUCCGCCUGGGGAGUACGGCCGCAAGGCUA
rnacentral:rRNA from 1 species